UGGUGGUUAUGUGCUGAUGGCAACUAUGACUUCCUUCAAAGGAAACAUGAUUAAGUUUAUGAAAAGAUCAUGUCAACCUCAAACUUAGAUAUAAUCUUAGAUGUUUAAGAGCAAACUCAAAGAUAAAAGUCCCUCCUUCAACCUUUCUUUUCCCCAGCAUGAUGGAGUCCAACAAAUAGAUCAAGAAACAAGACCAAGACGGGCCCUGAGACAGGCCCUGAGACAGGCACAGGCGAGACAUGCAGCUGCCAACACAUGAGAUCAGUUAAGAGAGAAGAACAGAGUGGAAUUUUUCUUUCUGUUCCAAACAACACUGGGGACAUUCUAGGAUAACAUUCUAAGGGAUUUCUCUAAAGAGGGAUUUGGAUGUUUACAACAAAGAGAUGCCAAACUGUCACAGCCAAGAGGAGCCUAUGGGGACGUGAUGACCAAGUGCAAUGUAGGACCCUGGAUGGGAUCCUGGAAAAGUAAAAGGACGUUAGGUAAAAACUAAGGAAAUCUGAGUAAAGUAUGGACUUCAGUUAAUAACAGCAUAUCAGUAAAGUAACAUAUCAUUACAUAUGCAUACAAUGGGGUGUCAUUAAUUGUAAUAAGUGUGUCCUACCAAUGUAAGGAUGUUAAUAAUAGAGGAAAUUGGGUGUAGAUUAUGUAGUAUAUGGGGAGUCUCUGUACUGUCUCCAUAAUUGUACUACAACUCUAAAACUGCUUUAAAAGAAAAAGUUUAUGUUUAAAAAAGGGAUGACAUUUAAAAAGGGAAGGAAAUAUCACAGUCAAAAGCCUAUUGGAAGCAGAGGAGGGAUUCCAACUCCAAACCGUAAUAUAUUUCUUCAUUUUCAAUUUGUAGGUUCAACAUCACAGGGCCAGCCAAGAACAGUGUGCUGCCUUCUCAACUAAUGGUCCCCAACUCCUGGACAGCAGACCAAUACCAGUCUGUGGCCUAUUAGGAACCAAGCUGCACAGUAGGAGACAUCAACACUCCUGGUUCUUGGGCCUUCUGACUCUGAGACUUACCAGCGUCACCCACACAAACUUUCUCAGGCCUUACGACUCAGACUGAAUUAUGUCACUGGCUUUUCUGCUUCUCCAGUUUGCAGAAAGCAUAUCGCGGGACUUCUCCAUCUCCAAAAUCAAU